rnacentral:lncRNA from 1 species
GGGCGACCUGGGCACCAGCAGGACCCGAGGCCAGGAGCCAGGGGCCCAGAAGAACGUGGCCCUGUCCCAGAGCACCACCCGAGACAUCAGGAGCCCAUCGUGGGCUAGGGAAGACCCUCCGGGACCUAACGGCCCAGGUCUUCCACCCUUGGCCACCUCCCCAGGUGAUGCCUGAAGCUCAAGGGACUGUGUCCACCCUCAGGCCCUGCCCGUGGCUCCGGAUCGGCGGUCCCCAUCAGAGGCCCGGGCUGAGUCCUCAGGGGUCGACGCAGGUCCUCUGGGCAGCAUGGGGUGGUGCCGGGUGGACCCCACGGUGGCCUGUGUUCUCCACGUGGCCGUGGGUCGGUUCCUCGCUGGAGGAGACCCUUCCCCAGACACCUGCCGGGCACCCAGCCAAGCCCUUGAGGCCCGGGAAGGUCUCUGGAUGCCACCCUACACCCCGCCCAGACUCCUCUCCCUGUGGUUCCUGGACAGAACAUUCCGUCACCACGAAACAAAGUUUGCCCAGGCCCUGCCUUCACCCUGGGAAAACCCAGCCGGGCAUGGGAAGGAGGAAUGCUGCCCGCCUGCCCACCCAGACCAGAGUCGCCCCACAUGCCAGGCCAGGCCCGCAUCCUCCUGGGGCACACGGGAGCCCCAGGCUUCCCGGCAGGAAAAGCCCCCCACCGCAGAAGGGCUGGUCUCUGGUGGGGAGUUGCUGCUGGGUGGGGUGACCACAGGGCGGGGUUCAGGCUGGGGUAUUUUUAAUGAUGUGGUUGCAUCUGGUCACCGCCCCCCGCCACCCCCGAUUCUUUCCUGCCCUCCCCACCUUGUGACCCAGACUGUGGCUUGAAUUAAGAAUGUUUUCAGAUAAGUACACGCCUUUGAGGUUAAAA